GGAGUCCAGGGCUCGUGGGGGACAGGAGUGUGGAGCUGAGCCUCCAACCCAGCUUUUCUCACCUGAUAAUAUCCCUCAGAGAUCAUUCCUUUCCAGCACAUGAAUCGACCUCAUUCUUGCCGUGGCUGCAGGGUGGUCCACUGGGUGGCUAUGCCACCAUCUACUAGUUCCCCACUGAUGGCCAUUGAGGGAGCUUCCAGACCUUUUGCUACUCCAGACUACACUGCAGUGAACAUCUUUACACUUAUUUCUUUGCAUGCUUGUGUUGAUAUUUCUGAGGGGCAGAUUCCUAGAAGUAGGGGUGCUGGGUCAAAGGAAAUAUAUUUUGAUCUACGUAAUACAUGUGAUGAUUAAGAGAAAAAGAAGAUAAUAGAACAAAAGGACUUCUGCAGAACCCCAGAUGCAAAGCAAUGCACGCUACAAGCCCGUGAUUAGGCUCAUCCUCCGCAGUGUACCAUCUCCAGCCAGUCCCUCUCUCCCAACUCUGUCCUCUCCUGUCCUCAGCAGCUGCUGCUGUCCCAAGAUAAGCAAGACAAACAUUCUUCAGGAAAGAUCAGCAAAUUUGCUCCUCGCUGUGACCAGGGCACAGGAGCCAGCAUACUCAAGACAUGCAGGAGAUAAAGCAGAUCCUUGGGAAUGGCGGGAGGGGUGCCCAGAGGGGUCUUCCCACAUGAAAUGAGAUUCCUCAUGAUUAAAGGUCGAGCUGCA